UACGUAGGUGGCAAGCGUUGUCCGGAUUUACUGGGCGUAAAGAGCGCGCAGGCGGUCGUUCAAGUCGCGUGUGAAAGCCCCCGGCUCAACUGGGGAGGGUCACGCGAUACUGAUCGACUCGAAGGCAGGAGAGGGUAGUGGAAUUCCCGGUGUAGUGGUGGAAUGCGUAGAUAUCGGGAGGAACACCAGUGGCGAAGGCGGUUGCCUGGAGCUUUGCUGACGCUGAUGCGCGAAAGCGUGGGGAGCGAUCCGG
rnacentral:rRNA from 1 species